UACGUAGGGGGCAAGCGUUGUCCGGAAUCAUUGGGCGUAAAGCGCGUGUAGGCGGGUCGGUAAGUCCGCUCUGAAAGCCCGGGGCUCAACCCCGGGAGGCGGGUGGAUACUGUCGACCUCGAGUCCGGAAGAGGCGAGUGGAAUUCCUGGUGUAGCGGUGAAAUGCGCAGAUAUCAGGAGGAACACCAAUGGCGAAGGCAGCUCGCUGGGACGGUACUGACGCUGAGACGCGAAAGCGUGAGGAGCAAACAGG
rnacentral:rRNA from 1 species